rnacentral:rRNA from 1 species
AACGAACGCUGGCGGCAUGCCUAACACAUGCAAGUCGAACGAGACCUUCGGGUCUAGUGGCGCACGGGUGCGUAACGCGUGGGAACCUGCCCUUAGGUUCGGAAUAACUCCCCGAAAGGGGUGCUAAUACCGGAUAAUGUCUUCGGACCAAAGAUUUAUCGCCUUUGGAUGGGCCCGCGUUGGAUUAGCUAGUUGGUAGGGUAAAAGCCUACCAAGGCGACGAACCAUAGCUGGUCUGAGAGGAUGAUCGGCCACACUGGGACUGAGACACGGCCCAGACUCCUACGGGAGGCAGCAGUGGGGAAUAUUGGACAAUGGGCGAAAGCCUGAUCCAGCAAUGCCGCGUGAGUGAUGAAGGCCUUAGGGUUGUAAAGCUCUUUUACCCGGGAUGAUAAUGACAGUACCGGGAGAAUAAGCUCCGGCUAACUCCGUG